UAACAAAUAUGGUUUCUCUCUUGCU
rnacentral:piRNA from 1 species